rnacentral:rRNA from 1 species
UACGUAGGGGGCUAGCGUUGUCCGGAAUCAUUGGGCGUAAAGCGCGCGUAGGCGGCCAGAUAAGUCCGGUGUGAAAGUCACAGGCUCAACCUGUGAAUGCCGCUGGAAACUGUCUGGCUAGAGUCCGGAAGGGGCGAGUGGAAUUCCUGGUGUAGCGGUGAAAUGCGCAGAUAUCAGGAGGAACACCAUGGCGAAGGCAGCUCGCUGGAACGGUACUGACGCUGAGGCGCGAAAGCGUGGGGAGCGAACAGG